AAUUAGAACACAGCAUUUAUCAUUGCUGUGAUGUGUUAUAGCCAGUACUUUUUAAAAGGGCACAUAGUACCUAGCAUUACUCAACUUUGUAUCCUAAUUUGCUUAUUGUGCCUCUGCCUUAAAGCUCGGAGGAGAAUCCACACUAUCGGAGAAGGAUGCAGCAAGUGUCCAGGAAUUGGCCUACGCCUGGGACCUUCCAUCCAUAACUGAGAUGGAUUUUUGAGAAGUUAUUGAUCCAUGCUGUUAUCGGCCGUGUCACAAGACAAAUAAAACAGCUCAGGCGAGGUCUCAAAGAAACCCCAAUGUGGACAGUACUGACCCAACGACCUGACACAGUGGACAGGCUUCUCCCAAAAGAGGGAUCUGGGAAUAUAAACCCUGAGGUACUUCUUCAGCGAAUCACUUGGCCCCGUGAGGACGACGAAGACGCAGAUUAUUCAGUCGCUACGAUAUGCUGCAUUACAGGCUAUCUUCAACAGUUCA